AGUGAACGCUGGCGGUAGGCCUAACACAUGCAAGUCGAACGGCAGCACAGUAAGAGCUUGCUCUUACGGGUGGCGAGUGGCGGACGGGUGAGGAAUACAUCGGAAUCUACUUUUUCGUGGGGGAUAACGUAGGGAAACUUACGCUAAUACCGCAUACGACCUACGGGUGAAAGCAGGGGAUCUUCGGACCUUGCGCGACUGAAUGAGCCGAGGUCGGAUUAGCUAGUUGGCGGGGUAAAGGCCCACCAAGGCGACGAUCCGUAGCUGGUCUGAGAGGAUGAUCAGCCACACUGGAACUGAGACACGGUCCAGACUCCUACGGGAGGCAGCAGUGGGGAAUAUUGGACAAUGGGCGCAAGCCUGAUCCAGCCAUACCGCGUGGGUGAAGAAGGCCUUCGGGUUGUAAAGCCCUUUUGUUGGGAAAGAAAAGCAGCAGGUUAAUACCCCGCUGUUCUGACGGUACCCAAAGAAUAAGCACCGGCUAACUUCGUG
rnacentral:rRNA from 1 species